UCUGAAUUCAUGGAAUUUCAGUCUUCAUUUUUUAAAGAAAGCAUCUUCCCUGUGGUGGACAUCUCUUACAGUAUUUAGAAUGGAAAAAUUCAGACUCUGAAACUGGACAUAGCCUGUUCAGAUAUUAACGCUUUAGAAUGUCUCUCUGGAGGAAGUAUACAAUUGUGGAUUAUCUCGUUAUUUCCAUUGUUGGAGUGUUCAAUAGAUUAGCUACAUUGUCAGAGAUUUCUUAGAAAUCUUCACUUUAGAGAAAAACACCUCUUCAAAUUUAUUCUCCAGUAAAUUUCUAGAAAUUUUCCUUCCAGAGCUAGUUUCUGUGUAAAUGAACAAUUUUCUAGUGCAACAGAAAAACACUUUGAUGAACAUAACAGUGGAUGUGAUAUAAAUUCCUAAGUGUAUUAUAACAGACAGAGCAAUAAUACAAAAUGCUGUGAAACAGCAAAUCUGAGGAAAUUCACAGCCUUCACUGUUUUCAUCAGAACUGGCAGACUGGAACUUGCUGAGACUGGUAGAGAAAUUCAGACAAGAUAUCACACCAUGGAGUAGCAAAAUCUUUGACAAGAUAGCAAGAAAUGAGGAAUCAUCAAUUCUCCAGUCCUAAGCUGAGGUCUGUUGCAACUCAACUUAUUGCAGACUCUCUUCCAUGGAUACCAGAAGGAGCUCCUAUGUUCCUGUGGUUUUUGAAGACCUUGGGAAUGAGAAACACUGACUUUCAAUUAACUUGACACUCCCAGCAAAUUCAGGUAACUGUUUACAUACAGAGCAUUUUUGCAAGCGAAUUAUUCUGCACCAUACAGUGAAAAUGCUUGUACCUUUCCACCUGGGAGAAGAAUUGGAAUAUGUUCCUGUGUCCUCAGGAUAGAUUUGCUCUUCCAUCAGGACAACCACUGUGAAUGUCCUUACAGAUAUUAAGGUAAAUUUUGUUCAAUUUGCUCUACAGAUCAUCCUUUGGACCCAAAUCUCAACUAGUGUUAAUUGAUGUAGCUCUGAAUUUAAUUAAACUUUGGAAGCUCUCACUGCCUGAGAAUCUGUCCUGCAGAUUGCUUUUGGAAAAUGCUUAUACUCAGCUUGAUCUAUCCAUGAUUGAAAUUUAUGCUUUAGCUGAAGGUAAAUUAUGGCUAUUUGGUGAUUAAUACCUUGUUCUCAUGCCAAGCCAAGCUAAGAUGUGCUGACUUAAUUUAUCACUAACCAGAGGUUAUUAUCUUACUGUAAUUAUAAGAAAAUGCACAUCACUUUGACCUUUGAGCAAUUGUGUGGGGAGCUCAUCCCUUAAAGUUCCCCUUGAAUUUCUCUUAAAUCUAACAUCUCCUUCUCUGAAUAGACUUUUGCAAGUCCUUUGCAAAAAUGAGAAUGUCAGAAAAGAGGACAC
rnacentral:lncRNA from 1 species